AGAAGCACUACGAGCUGCAUCAGUAGCAUCAGCAACUGCAAUCCCAAUAUCAGCCUUCUUUAGAGCAGGUGCAUCAUUGACACCAUCCCCCGUCAUUCCACAAAUAUGCUUCCUCGCUUGCAAGCGCUUAACAAUCUCAUACUUGUGCUCUGGAAAAACACCGGCAAAUCCAUCAGCCUUCUCUAUUAGGUCAUCAACAGGUAAAGCAGCAAUUGAUUCAUCCUUAUGGUGACCCAACAAAGCAGAUGAAGGAUACAUAUUUGU
rnacentral:misc_RNA from 1 species